rnacentral:rRNA from 1 species
UAGGGAAUAUUGGACAAUGGGGGCAACCCUGAUCCAGCCAUGCCGCGUGAGUGAAGAAGGCCCUCGGGUUGUAAAGCUCUUUUGUCCGGAAAGAAAAGCAUUCGGUGAAUACCCGGAUGUUCUGACGGUACCGGAAGAAUAAGCACCGGCUAACUUCGUGCCAGCAGCCGCGGUAAUACGAAGGGUGCAAGCGUUACUCGGAAUUACUGGGCGUAAAGCGUGCGUAGGUGGUUGUUUAAGUCUGAUGUGAAAGCCCUGGGCUCAACCUGGGAAUGGCAGUGGAAACUGGGCAGCUAGAGUGCGGUAGAGGGUAGUGGAAUUCCCGGUGUAGCAGUGAAAUGCGUAGAGAUCGGGAGGAACAUCUGUGGCGAAGGCGACUGCCUGGACCAGCACUGACACUGAGGCACGAAAGCGUGGGGAGCAAACA